UUCGGCCCGGGGCCAAGCCGCGAACGGGUGAGUAACACGUGGGUAACCUGCCCUGAUGAUUGGGACAACCCGAGGAAACUCGGGCUAAUACCGAAUGUGCCCUCUGGCCUCAAGGCCUCUGGGGAAAGGAAGCUUCGGCCUCCGCAUCGGGAUGGGCCCGCGGCGCAUUAGCUUGUUGGUGAGGUAACGGCUCACCAAGGCGACGAUGCGUAGCUGGUCUGAGAGGACGAUCAGCCACACUGGGACUGAGACACGGCCCAGACUCCUACGGGAGGCAGCAGUGGGGAAUCUUGCGCAAUGCGCGAAAGCGUGACGCAGCAACGCCGCGUGGGGGAAGAAGGCCUUCGGGUUGUAAACCCCUUUCAGUUGGGACGAAGCUUCAGCGGUGAAUAGCCGUUCGGAGUGUCGGUCCUC
rnacentral:rRNA from 1 species